AUGCACUUUGAUGGAACUCAGUACGUCUUAAUUUAUGCCAGUGGAGUCAGUACAGUUAAUACCAGAACAACGAAUUCAGAGACAUACAUGUCAGCAUUGGUAGACUUUUACAUCUUUGAUGAAAGUCUUUUGGAAAUGUUAAGAGUGUUAGAAGAAGAGAAAGAGAAGUACCAGGAAGGAAAAAAGAGAGAGAAAGGGAAGGGUGAGGAGGAGCAGAGGGAGGGGAGAAAAGCCGCAAAGUGCCUCUUGGACUUCAUCCUGGCGGUCCUCUGGGCAGUCAUCUGGUUCGUUGGUUUCUGCUUCCUGGCCAACCAGUGGCAGCAUUCUCCACCCAAACAGUUCCUCCUGGGGAGCAGCAGCGCAAAGGCAGCCAUCGCCUUCACUUUCUUCUCCAUUCUUGUCUGGAUAUUCCAGGCCUACCUGGCAUUCCAGGACCUCCAAAAUGAUGCUCCAGUCCCCUACAAGCGCUCCCUGGAUGAGGGUGGUGUGGUGCUGACCACCCUCUCCCUGCCCUCCACCACCAGCCCUGUCAACACACCCAUCACUGCCCCAAACAGCCUGAGUUAUGCCAGCUCUACCCUGUCCCCCUAUAUGACCACUCCAAAGGCUCCCCGCCUUGCUAUGAUGCCUGGCAACUAAACAUCCUUAUCCAUAUCAGUAAAGAGAUGAUCUUCCCUCCAGAAGGGUUUCU